AUAAAUUACCCUUUUUGGACUUUUCAAAUCCUGUGGUAAUGUUUAAUAUAAAUCCUUUCUCCCAAUUUCCUUAUUUAAAAUAAUUCCAAACUGAGCCAUUGCUUGCCCACAUGCAGCACGCAGGCUUUGCUGCCCUCGCGUGGGGCAGGCUCACAUGGUUCCAGUAUUCUUAUUUUAAGGUGAAUACAAAUCCAAUGCAGCUUCUUGGCAGGGGGAGUUACUAAAAUACUCCCAGGUCUAAAAGAUGAGGUACUAAUUGUGGAGCAAGUUGUUCUCUCAGCAGAAAUUCCCCUAGGGUAUUUUUUUCACCUAGCUUCCUACCACCCUUACAUUGUAUGAGUUUUUUACCCAUCAUGCAUCCUGUACACUACAGGUCCAGCCACAUGGGCGAUGGCCACCUCCAAGCCAGACAUCAUGAUCAUCCUGUUGAGCAAGCUGAUGGAAGAGGGGGACAUGUUUUAUAAGAAAGGUAAAGUAAAGGAAGCUGCCCAGCGCUACCAGUACGCCCUGAAGAAGUUCCCUA
rnacentral:sRNA from 1 species